GACGAACGCUGGCGGCGUGCUUAACACAUGCAAGUCGAACGAUGAAGCUGGAGCUUGCUCCGGUGGAUUAGUGGCGAACGGGUGAGUAACACGUGAGCAAUCUGCCCUUGACUCUGGGAUAACUGCGGGAAACUGUAGCUAAUACCGGAUACUUUCACUGGAAGGCAUCUUCUGGUGAAGAAAGAAUUUCGGUCAAGGAUGAGCUCGCGGCCUAUCAGCUUGUUGGUGAGGUAACGGCUCACCAAGGCGACGACGGGUAGCCGGCCUGAGAGGGGGACCGGCCACACUGGGACUGAGACACGGCCCAGACACCUACGGGAGGAAGCAGUGGGGAAUAUUGCACAAUGGGCGCAAGCCUGAUGCAGCAACGCCGCGUGAGGGAUGAAGGCCUUCGGGUUGUAAACCUCUUUUAGCAGGGAAGAAGCGAAAGUGACGGUACCUGCAGAAAAAGCACCGGCUAACUACGUGCCAGCCGCCGCCGUAA
rnacentral:rRNA from 1 species